rnacentral:rRNA from 1 species
UACGUAGGUCCCGAGCGUUGUCCGGAUUUAUUGGGCGUAAAGCGAGCGCAGGUGGUUUAUUAAGUCUGGUGUAAAAGGCAGUGGCUCAACCAUUGUAUGCAUUGGAAACUGGUAGACUUGAGUGCAGGAGAGGAGAGUGGAAUUCCAUGUGUAGCGGUGAAAUGCGUAGAUAUAUGGAGGAACACCGGUGGCGAAAGCGGCUCUCUGGCCUGUAACUGACACUGGGGCUCGAAAGCGUGGGGAGCAAACAGG